CCUACGGGUGGCAGCAGUGGGGAAUAUUGGACAAUGGGGGGAACCCUGAUCCAGCCAUGCCGCGUGUGUGAAGAAGGCCCUCGGGUUGUAAAGCACUUUCAGUGAGGAAGAACGCCUGAUGGUUAAUACCCAUCAGGAAAGACAUCACUCACAGAAGAAGCACCGGCUAACUCCGUGCCAGCAGCCGCGGUAAUACGGAGGGUGCGAGCGUUAAUCGGAAUUACUGGGCGUAAAGCGCGCGUAGGUGGCUUGAUAAGCCGGUUGUGAAAGCCCCGGGCUCAACCUGGGAACGGCAUCCGGAACUGUCAAGCUAGAGUGCAGGAGAGGAAGGUAGAAUUCCCGGUGUAGCGGUGAAAUGCGUAGAGAUCGGGAGGAAUACCAGUGGCGAAGGCGGCCUUCUGGACUGACACUGACACUGAGGUGCGAAAGCGUGGGUAGCAAACAGGAUUAGAUACCCUUGUAGUC
rnacentral:rRNA from 1 species